UCUAAUGAGUGGGGACACUAUUAUUGGGCCAACAAAAUAUAUAUACAAGGUAAAACUGAAACUCAAAGUCGGAAUACGGUGACGCGAACACUGGCGGUCACCUCGCUCAACUACCAAAAUAUGGCCUUCGAUCCUGCUAAUAACUCGCUACCGGGUGAAAAAUAUCUACAACUGCAUGCAAGGUGAAGGUAGUAAAGUGACUACUUCCAACUCAG
rnacentral:lncRNA from 1 species